AAAAGCUUCCUGCCCCAAGACCUUCACUCUUGCCUUUCCUCUAAUUGGAAUUUCCUUUCCCCACAGUCCCCAUGGCUGUUUCUUUCCCAAUUUUCACGUUUCAGCUCAAAGGUCAUAUCCUCAAAGGCAGACCUGGGGAUUAGGAAGAGGCUUACGGAGGUGCACAGUCAUCCAGAAAGCUGAGGGGUUCAGGGACGGGAGAUGUUGGUCCAAAGACACAAAAUUUCAGUCAUGAAGGAGGAAUACGUUCCGGGGAUUAUACCACAUGAAGAGGAAGUGUGGAUGCAGACACACACCGAGGAAAGCCCACGUGAGGACACCGGGAGGGCGGCCGUCUGAUCGCCAAAGAGAAAGGCCUCCGAGGAAACCAGCCCUGCUGACACCUGAUCGCAAGCUUCCAGCCUCCAGAAUUGUGAAAAAACACAUUUCUGUUGUUUCAGCCACUCGUAUGUCCCAGGCAAGGCAACCUCCUAUGCUGAAACACACAUCUCUGCAUCAACCUUUUCUGCAAAAGAUUCAAUGGUAUGGAUGCAACACCAUUUAUUUUACCAUUUCUAUAUUGAUAGACAGAGAAUCUCCAAUAUUUUGCAAUUCUCGCCUUAAAAUGUGCACUUCUCUGAGUAUUUCUGCAAG
rnacentral:lncRNA from 10 species